GAUUUUUUUAGCAAUUUAUUUACCAGUAUAGAGGUAAUUUUUAUAAAAAAAUAUACCAGAAGGCAAAGAAUAAUAAAAAAUAUAAUAUGUAAAAAAACCUUAUUUAAAGUGAAAUAUGAAUAUAUUAAUUGUAAAACUUCUAAAAUAAGAAGUAACAAGAUACAUUAACAUUAUAAACAUAAAUAUCCUCAUGUCAAGCCAGCUGAUAUGAAAUUUACAAAGAUAGCCAUCAAAAGAUAUAAUAAUAAUUGGGUAUCCUCAAAUUGUGAAAUUCCAUAUAAUAUCACAAAUGGAGUUGAAACCCAGUUGCAAAAAAAGACAAUAACAUCUUACUUCCGAAAACAAACCUCCGUUAUUGAAGAUUUCCAAAUUGUAUUAUCUUCUCAUCCAAUCCCCAGUUCCAGUGAGGCGCUUACUUUGCAUGAUGAAAUUCACAAAUUGUAUUAUCUCCUCAUUCAAUCCCCAGUUCCAGUGAGGCGCUUACUUUGGAUGAGGAAUAAAUUACGAGGAUAUUCAAAAUCCAAGUCUUAUUCAGCUAUACAAAAAGAAGGAACCAAAUGACCCAUUUCACUUCAUAUUAUUUAGGAUGACAAAUAUUCUGAUUAAUUUCAUAAUUGCUGUAGGCCCAUGUCAGCCAUGUAGAAAUAAAUUUCAAUAUCCUGAGGAGCAUAACCUAAUAUAGAAAGGUUAAUAUAGAUGAUUCCUUCAACCCCAGAAAUUAGCUAUCGUCUUUUGUCUAUAUUUUAUUAUGUUUGGUGGCCCUAAGUCUAACACUUUUUGGACUCAACUUGGAGUAAAUAACUGGAAAAACAUUAAGCUUGACUUAGAGAGAUACGAAUCAUCUUCUAUUCAUAAGGAUCGAUAUGCAAACAUGACUUGUCUUGCAAAUAAGCGCAUUCAAGAUGCUAUCAAAUAAGCUUUAUAUAAUCAUGCUUUGGUUCUAAUUCGAAUGAAGGUAAUUUUAUGUGCUCUAAAUUAAUGGCAAAACGGUUCCAACUUUACGUGCAUACAUGAAUAAUAACGAAAAAUUGCGG